GCAUAUUUUCAACUGGUUGGAUUACCGAAAUAUGGUUCCGUUUUCCAUCUUUUGAUGUCACCAGACUCUGUAUGUUAACGAAGGGAUUUUCAAUAGUCACAUUGGUAGAGUAGAGAGAGGAAAAAGGGGAAAGGAAUUUAUGGGGGUCAUAAACCUCCAACAGGCCAGCAUCAUGACAAACCCUUUUGGGUUCUAUGUAGAACCCUUUCCAUAGAAGGUUCUACAUGGAAACCAAAAGGGUUUUACGUGGAACCAAAAGGGGUUCUUCCUAGAACCAAAAAGGGUUAUUCUAUGGGGACACCUGAAGUACCCUUUUGGAACACUUUUUUUCUAAGAGUGUAGGUAAUAAGCUGUAGUCAGGUGGUCAUUACCAGGUUAUGAUGAGGUCUUUACUAUGAUCAGUAGGAUACAUAAUAUAGCACAUAAUAUAGUGGUCACAAUUAUGACCAGAUGGUCACAUGUUGGUCAGAAAAAGACGUCAGAUUCUGGUCAGUAAAAAUCUGUUAAAAAAUGUCCUAUUUCAUCCAGUUUGCGACAGAAUAAGACGUCAUAAAAAGAUGUCAUACUGACGUCUUUUCAAACCAGGUUUUGACCACUGGGUGGAAUACCACUGUAAGUAGGCCUAUACUAUAGUUGUCAUUUGUUUCCAAGUAGACAAUGUUUCAGAAUUUGAGGUCAGUGCAGCAUAUGAAAAAUACAUUAUUGAAUUCAAACAAUCUGUUUAGAGGUCCCCAACAAUUUGCAAUAGUUUUUUUUCUUCAGAAAUUGUCAAAUACAGCAAAUGUCACUGUAAACGUUUAAAACAUUCUGCCAACACCUCCAGAGACAUUUGAUCAAACUCGCCAUUUCUAUUUGGAAACUACCAUGGUAUAAUUCCAGUACUUCCAAAGUACACAGCAAAAAAAGGCGUUAUUGUCACUAUAAAUGGUGAAUGAAGGCCGUUUUUCAGGCAGAUUCUCAUUCACGCGCGCACAGGUUCAGGACGGUCUGACUUAUAACAGGAAACAUGCUUAUGUAUGGCAACCACCAAGUUUAUACAUCUCAAUAUUUUUGAACGUGUGCAGACUUUUCUGAAAUUAUGCAAGCAGAUAUUUAUUGUGAAAUGUACACAACGGUUAUAAAUGAGGACCCAGAUGCCUUCAUCUGACUAACAGGCAACAGCAAGCAGUGUUGUGGCACCUCGUUGACGGUUCCAGACACUUGUAGCUGUGUUCUCCUGUUGAGCAAAAAAUAACAAGAGUUAACAUGGCACCAAAUGAAACCUGUUUUACACAGCACAUUUUCCGGAGCUAAAUGAUUGUGGGCAGAGUACGUGUUUUUUUUACCACACUCGUUUUUGACAGGAAAUGAGAAGUGAGAAGCCACAACAGUGCAGCUAUUGGAAACUACUCACUGGUCACAGAUGUCAGUUGAACAUCUAGCCUAGUUUCGUUUUGGUUGAGUUGUCAACUAACGUGAUUCAACAUGAAUUCAGCAAAAAAUGGCACCAUGUUUUUGGAUUUAGGUUAAAAGUUUGGUGGGAAAAAUAGGAAAUUCCCUUACAUUGAUUAGUUUUUGCAAAUCCAAUCAGUCCCACGUUGUCUUCACAUUUUGUUUUGUUGUUGAAAUGAAGUGUAAACAACACUGAUUCAUCCAGUUUUUUCCCAGGGGGUAGUGAUCAGCACAAACUCAUAGAGUCAGACUUAAAGUAGGUCAAGUAGCCUGUGUGUUAUACAUUGUGUUUGGGUAUUUAAAAUGUGUCAGUAGGAUAUAUAGUAUUGUAUGUAAAGGGCUUACAUAGAAACUUCCAAAAGGACUAAUUCGAGACAGAAAGGAGUUGGGGCACUCAACUGUCACCUGUUAUCAUCCAAUAAAAUGGAUUAAAGUGACCUAAAAUAAAUCCAUGUCUGCCUUUCCAAUUACUUUCUGCCUCAAUUUAGUCCUUUUGGAUGUUUUUCUUGGUAAGCCCUUCUCAUGCUUUUCAUCAUUGUUGUUGAGCACCCCUCCUUUCCUUUGUUUGCUGAAGAGCGAAGGCCCACCUGAACUCAUAUCAUUGCAUGUAUUUCUGAGACACCAAUUCAGUACUCUAUCCUCAUUGUAGAUCUGAUAUGUAUAUGAGAAUGCACCAUUUUUACUACAGUGCUUCCAAGUAAUUAUUAAAAUACCAAAAAGCUGACAAACACUCAUUACAGCAACUCUUUAACCAGGACGUGGCAGAGGGUAUUUUGUUUAUGUGUUUCGGGGUGAUGGUUUAUGUAGUAGGGUGUUUGAUUUAUUAUUUCUGGGUUUUUUGGUCACUGCUCUAUGUUAGUCUAUUUCUAUGUUCUUUCUAGUUAGUCUGUUUCUAUGUUUAGUUAAUUGGGGUGUGGACUCUCAAUUGGAGGCAGGGGUUGUCUAGUUGCCUUUGAUUGAGAGUCCUAUAUAUUAGGGUGUGUUUGUGAUUUGUGGGAGGUUGUGCUUGUUUAGCUGUCUAUGCCUGACAAGACUGUAUUUCGUCAUUCAUCAUUUUUUGUGAUUUUUGUAUACGG
rnacentral:lncRNA from 1 species